rnacentral:rRNA from 1 species
CCUACGGGAGGCUGCAGUGAGGAAUCUUGCUCAAUGGACGAAAGUCUGAACCAGCCAUGCCGCGUGCAGGAUGACGGCUCUCUGAGUUGUAAACUGCUUUUGUACAAGGGUAAACAUGAAUACGUGUAUUUAGCUGACUGUACUGUACGAAUAAGGAUAGGCUAACUCCGUGCCAGCAGCCGCGGUAAUACGGAGGAUACAAGCGUUAUCCGGAUUUAUUGGGUUUAAAGGGUGCGUAGGCGGAUUGAUAAGUUAGAGGUGAAAUGUCCGGGCUCAACUCGGGAACUGCCUCUGAUACUGUUGAACUAGAGAGUAGAUGCGGAAGGCGGAAUGUAUGGUGUAGCGGUGAAAUGCUUAGAGAU